AGGCCAUGGUGAGGGCAUCUUCUCAAGAGGUCCUUGUAUCUCUCCCAUGCAUCAUAGAGUGUCUCUAGAUCAUCUGCACAAAAGAAGAGAUAUCAUUCCUAAAUUU
rnacentral:snoRNA from 1 species